rnacentral:lncRNA from 1 species
CUAACGAAAUACACAUCAAGCCUAAUCCGGUACCUAAACCAGACUUAGGACUUAAUGUCAUAACCUGCAAGCAAAUCAAUCAACCACAAUCACAAUAAUAACUAUGAGUAUCACGACUCGAUCUAACUAGUAUCACCGUAUAUCGGUGCUACAAUGUCUCUAGGACAAUCUAACACAACACAACACACUACCCCGUGAAAUGGUGACUUAGUGUUCAUCCUCUCUAUCGGCAAUAUCCUAUCUUCCUACCACAAAGGCCAGAAGAAGGAACUUUCAACCGACCGCGGCCCACAGUCCUUCGGGUCACCGCGCGACAGCCCACAGUCCUUCGGGUCACUGCCACAUUACACCGCCGUGUAAUCACUCUGCCAUAGGCCAUGAUCCCGUCUCUCUGAGUCUUCCCGAUCCAGCCAAUAAGGGGUUUCCUUGAACCCGCUGAAUACGAGGGUGAGGAAACACUAACCAACCCCAAAAAAGCCUACUAUGGGCGGGUUACGCACAUACUGUCGGCACACUCACACAACACAAACUCAAUCUAGAACCUAACGUAAUGAUAAAGUUCUAGACACUAACCAGACACUCGACUCGACAACACAAACCGAUAGUACCAGUAGUCCGGCCUAUAUGGCCUAAGACCCUGAGUACUAAUAACUAAACAAU